GCGCUCAUAGUUUAAGGGAUAGAACGGCAGUUUGCGGAACUGCUAGUCCAGGUUCGAGUCCUGGUGGGCGCACCA
rnacentral:tRNA from 4 species